ensembl:lncRNA
CGAGGAGCAGAGCACUGUAGACGAGAGAGAGUAUGGUCCUACUGAGUUGGGAUCAGUUCAUUUAAAGGUUUCAUUCGUUUAGGCAGGAUUGUCCGUUCGGUGACAAUUGCCACUGUUUCAGAGUGAGUCUGCGGUCCCGAUGAAGAAUGUCUGCUGGAGCCAGUUGAUUUGUUUACUUUCCCUCCCUCCUAGAUGUGUCCAUAACGUUCUGGAGGGGAAAAAACUGCUUCUCCUUUCGUCUGGGACUGGGUUCUUUUAAGUGGGAGAAAAAAAGAGAACAACUUUCUCCAUCUGUGAACAUUCAGCAAGGAAAACAUUCAGCUUGACUGCUGAAGAUAUUUCUUCUCGAUGAACAGGGUGCGUUGAGGAGAACUGCUGCUUCUUCGCCCCUCCAGUUGCCACCCCCGAAUAGGCAUGAUCAGCAAAUACUCAGCACAGCGCUCUCUCGGCGGCAGAUGCUGAUGAGCACAGGGAACUAGUUACGAGGCUGCAACGUGACCGUCGCAUCUCCCAGUGAUGGCCUCAUCAGCUACGCAGCUGUGCUUGGGCUACUGUCACUGCAUCUAGCAACCAGUUCUGAGUGACGCUCCCCCCCCACUCCCCUGCCCCCCCCCUCUCCCC